rnacentral:rRNA from 1 species
AUACGUAGGGGGCGAGCGUUGUCCGGAAUGACUGGGCGUAAAGGGCGUGUAGGCGGCCGAUUAAGUCUGGAGUGGAAGUCCUGCUUUCAAGGUGGGAAUUGCUUUGGAGACUGGUUGGCUUGAGUGCGGAAGAGGUAAGUGGAAUUCCCAGUGUAGCGGUGAAAUGCGUAGAGAUUGGGAGGAACACCAGUGGCGAAGGCGACUUACUGGGCCGUAACUGACGCUGAGGCGCGAAAGCGUGGGGAGCGAACAGGAUUAGAUACCCUGGUAGUCCACGCGGUAAACGAUGAAUGCUAGGUGUAGGGGGUAUCGACCCCUCCUGUGCCGGAGUGAACACAAUAAGCAUUCCGCCUGGGGAGUACGGCCGCAAGGUUGAAACUUAAAGGAAUUGGCGGGG